rnacentral:rRNA from 1 species
UACGUAGGGGGCAAGCGUUGUCCGGAAUUAUUGGGCGUAAAGGGUGCGUAGGCGGCCUUUCAAGUCGGAUGUGAAAUCCCCGUGCUUAACAUGGGAAUUGCAUUCGAAACUGGAGGGCUUGAGUGUGGAAGAGGUAAGUGGAAUUCCCAGUGUAGCGGUGAAAUGCGUAGAUAUUGGGAGGAACACCAGUGGCGAAGGCGACUUACUGGGCCACAACUGACGCUGAGGCACGAAAGCGUGGGGAGCAAACAGG